CCUUUUGUUUCUUCAGCUACCAAAUCACUCUCUCUCUCCAGAAGAAGGAUCCGAGUCUCCAGGUGCAGUUGCUGGAGUACGAUAUGAGGUUUGAGAGAUAUGGAAGUGAGUUCACGUUUUAUGAUUACAACGAACCUGAAGAUUUACCGUUGGAGCUUAAACAUUGCUUCAACAUAAUCGUUGCAGAUCCUCCCUACUUGGGGAAACUGAUGGAGAUUCAUUUUAGUGGAAAGGGAAAUAUAUGCGGAGCAAAACUUGAAACUUGUGAGUAGAGAACUGAACAUUUGUCCUAUUCUUUGUCAUUUUUUCUUGAAUAUUGAGCUCACAUGUAUUUUUGUUUCCUGUGACUACUUGGUGCUGAAUGACCACAGUUCUGCUAGAAAAGGU